rnacentral:lncRNA from 1 species
UCAAUUUCCAUCCACAAUCGUUUGAUAUUCCCUUUCCUUCCCCUAGCCCUUCAUUGUUCGGUUCCCCCUCUCUCAUCUCCAUCUCUCCAGGACUACUACCAUCUCUCCACCGGUGAAUCAUUUUCUCUCUUCGGAUAAAUCACUUCACGGAUCACUUUCUUUUUCUUCAUAGUCAAGAUCUUCAUUGUUGGUCUAGGGUUCACAGAUCUUCUCCAUAGCGUUCAACUUCAAACCUUGCAAAAUUUUAAACCAAAUCAUCUGGUUACGAAAGUGGCUCCUGCUAUGACUUAGGAGGUCAAAGACGCAUUAGUAAAGAACAUUAGAAGAAAGAUGAGUCUUCGUUCUCUAAAGAUUUGAGCGGAUAUUAAGAUAAAAUGCGAUUCAGUUCAAUGGAGUUCUUCACAUUAAGGAGACAAUGCAGAAGGAGAAGCUGCUGGGAGUUAGGAUUGUCCUUAUUCUGCUUGUUGCGGAUCCGAGAAGGGUAGAUAUCAAUCUAUGAAGAGAAGCUUUUGAGUUAUGUUUUAUGAUAGUGAAUUCCUCACCCAAAAGAAGGUUUAGGCCUAUCUUGUAAACAUUUAGAAUUUGGAAUAUGUUUACUUGU